rnacentral:rRNA from 1 species
CCUACGGGUGGCAGCAGUGGGGAAUAUUGGGCAAUGGACGCAAGUCUGACCCAGCAACGCAGCGUGUGGGAAGACGGUCUUCUGGAUUGUAAACCACUGUCCCCAGGGACGAAAAUGACGGUAGCUGGGGAGGAAGCUCCGGCAAAAUACGUGCCAGCAGCCGCGGUAAUAGGUAGGGAGCAAGCGUUGUCCGGAAUUACUGGGUGUAAAGGGAGCGUAGGCGGGGUUGCAAGUUGGGUGUAAAAACUAUCGGCUCAACCGAUAGUCGCACUCAAAACUGCAGGUCUUGAGUGAAGUAGAGGCAGGCGGAAUUCCUAGUGUAGCGGUGAAAUGCGUAGAUAUUAGGAGGAACACCAGUGGCGAAGGCGGGCUGCUGGGCUUUUACUGACGCUGAGGCUCGAAAGUGUGGGGAGCAAACAGGAUUAGAUACCCCAGUAGUC